rnacentral:rRNA from 1 species
AACGGACGCUGGCGGCAGGCUUAACACAUGCAAGUCGAACGGGCAUAGCAAUAUGUCAGUGGCAGACGGGUGAGUAACACGUGGGAAUAUCCCCUUCAGUUCGGAAUAACGUUGGGAAACUAACGCUAAUACCGGAUACGUCCGUGAGGAGAAAGAUUUAUCGCUGAAGGAUUAGCCCGCGUCUGAUUAGCUAGUUGGUGAGGUAAUGGCUCACCAAGGCGACGAUCAGUAGCUGGUCUGAGAGGAUGAUCAGCCACAUUGGGACUGAGACACGGCCCAAACUCCUACGGGAGGCAGCAGUGGGGAAUAUUGGACAAUGGGCGCAAGCCUGAUCCAGCCAUGCCGCGUGAGUGAUGAAGGCCUUCGGGUUGUAAAGCUCUUUUGUCCGGGAAGAUAAUGACUGUACCGGAAAAAUAAGCCCCGGCAAACUUCGUGCCAGCAGCCGCGGUAA